UACAGAGGGUGCGAGCGUUAAUCGGAAUUACUGGGCGUAAAGCGCGCGUAGGCGGCUUUGCAAGUCGGGUGUGAAAUCCCCGGGCUUAACCUGGGAACUGCAUUUGGGACUGGUUUGCUAGAGAUCGGGAGAGGAGAGUGGAAUUCCCAGUGUAGAGGUGAAAUUCGUAGAUAUUGGGAAGAACACCGGUGGCGAAGGCGGCUCUCUGGACCGAUACUGACGCUGAGGCGCGAAAGCGUGGGGGAGCAAACAGG
rnacentral:rRNA from 1 species